GAAAAUGGGGAGCCGGUGAGGCUGAGAGGAAGCAGAAACGCUUCGACCCAAGGAACCUGAUUUGGAUAAUGCCAACGUAGGGAGAAUA
rnacentral:ncRNA from 1 species